GUCUUCGUGGUGUAACGGUAGCACACUCGGUGCAUAUCCAAGAGGUCCAGGUUCGAAUCCCGAUGAGGGCA
rnacentral:tRNA from 1 species